UACGUAGGCAGCGAGCGUUGUUCGGAGUUACUGGGCGUAAAGGGUGUGUAGGCGGUUCUUUAAGUUUGGUGUGAAAUCUCCCGGCUCAAUCGGGAGGGUGCGCCGAAUACUGAGGGACUAGAGUGCGGGAGAGGAAAGUGGAAUUCCUGGUGUAGCGGUGAAAUGCGUAGAUAUCAGGAGGAACACCGGUGGUGUAGACGGCUUUCUGGACCGUAACUGACGCUGAGACACGAAAGCGUGGGGAGCAAACAGG
rnacentral:rRNA from 1 species